AUCAUCUCUUGGAAGAGCUUUAUGUUUAAAUAGGUAACAGAAGUUGGCUAUUAACAAAGUCAGUGCCCUGGCAGAGACCUUAUGCUCAAGCAGGUGGCAGAUGAUGAUGCAUGAAGAUUUGAAAGCUCCCUGCCUAAACGCCCAAGAGCAGCUCUUGGAAGAUCACCGAAAAGAAAACUGAGUUGUAAGUAUUACUGCCUGUAUCUGAUUGAACUGUAAAGGUUACCCUGAUCGACAUUUUCAAAAAAUUAACAAGAAACCAUCAUCUAUAUUUGUGGAACAACACAUCAUGAAAGUCACUUAAAUAAUCUGGAGUGACGGGUUUCUUUCGCAAAAUCUCCUCUUGACUUGGAUGACGAAAUAAAACAUUGCAUUGGCCGGGAAUCGAACCCGGGCCUCCCGCGUGGCAGGCGAGAAUU